rnacentral:RNase_P_RNA from 1 species
CAGGUCAGCCGGAUGGACGCGGGCGCAUGGCGCCCGAGGAAAGUCCGCACACCACAGGGCAGCAUGCCGGGUAACGCCCGGAAGCACGUAAGUGUUUGGAACAGGGCCACAGAGAGCAUACCGCUCACUUAAGGUGAGCAAGGGUGAAAGGGUGGUGUAAGAGACCACCGGCGGGGUCAGCAAUGUCCUCGGCCAGGCAACCCCCAUGCGGUGCAAGGUCAAGCAGGAGAGAAGCCCGUUUCGGGCGGGAGCAGCCCGACUCCCAAGCAUCUCCGGGUAGAUCGCACGAGCUGACGGGUGACCGUCAGCCCAGAUAGAUGUCCAUCCAGGCGGGUUUCCCGCCGGACAGAAUGCGGCUUACAGGCUGGCCUGGUCU